rnacentral:rRNA from 1 species
UAGAGUUUGAUUCUGGCUCAGAUUGAACGCUGGCGGCAUGCCUUACACAUGCAAGUCGAACGGCAGCACGGGAGCAAUCCUGGUGGCGAGUGGCGAACGGGUGAGUAAUGUAUCGGAACGUACCUUUCAGUGGGGGAUAACGUAGCGAAAGUUACGCUAAUACCGCAUAUUCUGUGAGCAGGAAAGCAGGGGAUCGCAAGACCUUGCGCUGAUUGAGCGGCCGAUAUCAGAUUAGCUAGUUGGUGAGGUAAAGGCUCACCAAGGCGACGAUCUGUAGCGGGUCUGAGAGGAUGAUCCGCCACACUGGAACUGAGACACGGUCCAGACUCCUACGGGAGGCAGCAGUGGGGAAUUUUGGACAAUGGGCGCAAGCCUGAUCCAGCCAUGCCGCGUGAGUGAAGAAGGCCUUCGGGUUGUAAAGCUCUUUCAGCCGGGAAGAAAACGCAUGGGUUAAUACCCUGUGUGGAUGACGGUACCGGUAUAAGAAGCACCGGCUAACUACGUGCCAGCAGCCGCGGUAAUAC